CGGUGAGAACGAUGCCGAUGUCAGACAGCGGUAACAGUCGCCAAAGCUCCGACUCAGGCCUACGACAGUGGCAGCAGACACCUUAUUUUUUCAUCUUAAUGGUCUUGCGGAUGGGGUUGACCAAAUUAGGACAAAUGCAUUAUCUACCGAGCAACCAAAGGACCUUAGGUACAUAUGGAGCUUGCACAGGGAGGAGCAGGUCGUUGUGGG